AUUGAACGCUGGCGGCAUGCUUUACACAUGCAAGUCGAACGAUGAGAAAGAGCUUGCUCUUUCGAUUAGUGGCGGACGGGUGCGUAACGCGUAGGAAUCUACCUAUUAGUGGGGGACAACUUAGGGAAACUUAAGCUAAUACCGCAUACGCCCUACGGGGGAAAGAAGGGGAUCGCAAGACCUUUUGCUAAUAGAUGAGACUGCGUAGGAUUAGCUAGUUGGUGGGGUAAAAGCUCACCAAGGCGACGAUCCUUAACUGGUUUGAGAGAAUGAUCAGUCAAACUGGACAUGAGACACGGUCCAGAAUCCUACGGGAGGCAGCAGUGGGGAAUAUUGGACAAGGGGCGAAAGCCUGAUCCAGCAAUACCGCGUGUGUGAAGAAGGCCUUAGGGUUGUAAAGCACUUUCAAUUGGAAGGAAAACCUCGAAGCUAAUACCUUCGAGUUUGACAUUACCUUUAGAAGAAGCACCGGCUAACUCCGUGCCAGCCGCCGCCGUAAAAC
rnacentral:rRNA from 1 species